rnacentral:rRNA from 1 species
CGCCUUGCCAGCCCGCUCAGAAACUUAAAGGAAUGACGGGGCCCGCACAAGCGGAGGAGCAUGUGGUUUAAUUCGAUGAUACGCGAGGAACCUUACCUGGGCUCGAACGUAAGAUGACUGUAGGUGAAAGCUUACAUCUCUUCGGAGCAUUUUACGAGGUGCUGCAUGGUUGUCGUCAGCUCGUGCCGUGAGGUGUCGGGUUAAGUCCCAUAACGAGCGCAACCCCUACCUUUAGUUGCCAUCAGGUUAAGCUGGGGACUCUAAAGGAACUGCCUACGCAAGUAGUGAGGAAGGCGGGGAUGACGUCAAAUCAGCACGGCCCUUACGUCCAGGGCUACACACGUGCUACAAUGGCCGAUACAGAGGGCAGCUACCUGGUGACAGGAUGCAAAUCUCCAAAGUCGGUCUCAGUUCGGAUCGGAGUCUGCAACCCGACUCCGUGAAGUUGGAUUCGCUAGUAAUCGCGCAUCAGCCAUGGCGCGGUGAAUACGUUCCCGGGCCUU